UUGAUUAUUUAGCAGACAUCACUUGCUCACUUGAAUAUCAUGGAAAAUGAUUUAACAUGAUAUUCUUAAGAUAUGUGUUGACUGGCAUGGAUCAUAGCUGGCAAGACAUUUAAUGACAUGACGAAUCAACCGUGGCCCUUGAGCAAUUUGCUCAAAAUUGUUACAGAAGAAAAGGAAGAAUAUCAAGCAAGCCGAGUCCCAAGCAUCCGCUCAAACUCCAUGUGUGGGGGGCAAUUUCUCGCAAGAGACAAGGCCCACAUUUGAUUUUUGAUGGUAUCACGGCUCGAGAUUUCUUUGAGGAAGAAAUCAUCAAGAGAUAUGCUGGACCCUAUGUCAGAGAGGUGUUUCUGGGGACUACAUUGUUUCUUUCAAGACAAUGGCCCAAAACACACUGCCGCCCGGGUUUGCAUUGCAAAUGAGGGCAUAAACUGGGUCAAGACGCCAGCAGAGUCUCCUGAUUUAAACCUGAUCUAACUUGUUUGGCAUCAACUGAAAACAUUCAUCCGUAACUCUGCCAAGCCGACAAGCAAAGAUGAACUGGUCAAGGCCAUCAAGAUGUUUUGGCUAGAGAAAUAGACGAUACAACAAUGCAACAAAUACAUUGAUCAUCUCAGCAAGGUUUUACCUGUGGUCGUGGAGCUGGGUGGAAGUGCGACUAAAAUGUAGUUAAAAUAAGCGUCCGCAUUUGAAUGUAUUUUUUCUCGUUAUUUUAUUAAUGAAAGCAUAAAGAUGUUGAUGAAGAAAUACUGUGCUGUUGUUUUGAGUUAGAAAUGUAACACUUUAGAGUACUUAAGCAUUGAAUACAUUGCAAGUCAAGGGAUUUUCACAACAGUAGCCGCGCUAUAAAAAUUCUAUCGUCCUGCUAAUGGGAAACAUUUGCAUGAUGUGCUACACCUGCUACAGUACUACAGUACACUUGUGAAAAACAAGUGUUUGAAAACCUGUUUUCAAAUUGUUUUCAAACUGUUUCCAAUUGUCCAUCACUACUGUAAAUAAAGACACAUCAUCUUGAUCACAUCUUGUUUACAUUCUUUAUUGUAACCACAAUGUCACAAAUAAUUUGUCUCUACCUUUCCAAUGACUUUACAAAUGUACACUUUUCAUUAUUAGUUACAUUGUUUUAGUUCGAACGAGCAGACUUAUUUUCUUUAAAUGAUUGUUUUAUGUAGGAUGCUACAUUUUUGACCAGUUGCAAUUGUAACUAGGCCUAAUAAAACAAUUCCAACUUUUAAUAGACUGUUAAGCCUCAUUGACUACCUCAGCCAGUGGUUAUUUUAGAAAGGUCUAGGCUCCGAAGAAAUAGACUCCAAUUAAGCCCUCUUGUUAUUUGUAAAGUCAAAUUAAAAUGAAGAUUAUUGUUGAAAUGAAUUGCUGUAGGUUUUCUCCAUCUGUCGGUGUGUAACACUUGCAUAACAAGUUAGCUAUAUUUUCAGCACCAGCCACUGUUCAUCUCCUAUUGAUUGCGCCGCGGUUGCCGGCAGUUGUUUUUUAAAUGUAACCUUUUAUUUAACUAGGCAAGUCAGGUAAGAACAAAUUCUUAUUUACAAUGACGGCCUA